rnacentral:rRNA from 1 species
CCUACGGGAGGCUGCAGUGAGGAAUAUUGGUCAAUGGGCGCGAGCCUGAACCAGCCAAGUAGCGUGAAGGAUGACUGCCCUACGGGUUGUAAACUUCUUUUAUAAAGGAAUAAAGUGAGGCACGUGUGCCUUUUUGUAUGUACUUUAUGAAUAAGGAUCGGCUAACUCCGUUCCAGCAGCCGCGGUAAUACGGAGGGUCCGAGCGUUAUCCGGAUUUAUUGGGUUUAAAGGGAGCGUAGAUGGGUUGUUAAGUCAGUUGUGAAAGUUUGCGGCUCAACCGUAAAAUUGCAAUUGAUACUGGCAGUCUUGAGUACAGUUGAGGUAGGCAGAAUUCGUGGUGUAGCGGUGAAAUGCUUAGAUAUCACGAAGAACACCGAUUGCGAAGGCAGCUCACUGGACUGCAACUGACACUGAGGCUCGAAAGUGUGGGUAUCAAACAGGAUUAGAUACCCUGGUAGUC